CUCAUGGUCUCCAGCAUCCAAGGAGAGUGUGGGCAGCUGGAGCCAGGUCCUCCUCCUCCUCCUUCUCCUCUUCUUCCUCCUUCGUUUCUUCCUUUCCUCCUCCACCUGCCUAUUGCAGAGCAGCAGAAAGCAAAGGAGCUAGAAAAGGUUAGCACUGCCUCUAAGGUCUCCUGCAACUCACCCACCCACCCCUCUUACUCCAUGGUAUUCAACUUCUAAACUAAGAGGAAAGCCCGAGCUAGAGGUCCUAUGCAUCAAUCAGGGAAGAGAUAUUGAGAAGAAUAAACAGAGAAACUGAGUUCAAGCUUAACUCCCAACCCCUUGAGUGUGGGCUAGACUUAGUGACCUGCUUCUAAGGAAUAGAGUAUGGAAAGAGGAAAAUAGCAACAUUACAGGAGAGAAACCUGAAAGCAACUUAACCAAGUGAUCACAGAAUCACUGGUAAUAACUCUUGUUGAUAUCAUGUGCCCCCAAUACAGUAUGAUGAAAAGACCCAUCAUCUCGGUGAUAUUUAUCCUCAAAAUCUAUAAUCUUACAACAAUUAUGAGAAAAUAUAGACAAACCCAAUUUGAAAGGAAGCAAGUCUACAAGAUACUUAACCAGUACUUUACAAAAGUGACAAGGUCACAAAAGACAGCACAAGACUGAGAAACUCACAGAUUGGAGGAAGCCAAAGAGACAUCAUGGCUGAGAUCAUGGUGGUGGAACCCUGGUUUGGAUCCUGGAACAGAAAAAAAGAACACUAAGUGGAAAAACUGAUGAAAUAUAAAUAACAUAAUAAAAAUCUAUAAUUUAAUUAAUGGUAUUGUACGACUAUUAAUCUCUUAAGUUUUAAAAAAUGGACCAUUAUUAUGUAAGAUAUUAACGUCAGG
rnacentral:lncRNA from 1 species